rnacentral:rRNA from 1 species
CCUACGGGAGGCUGCAGUCGAGAAUCAUUCACAAUGGGGGAAACCCUGGUGGUGCGACGCCGCGUGGGGGAAUGAAGGUCUUCGGAUUGUAAACCCCUGUCAUGUGGGAGCAAAUUAAAAAGAUAGUACCACAAGAGGAAGAGACGGCUAACUCUGUGCCAGCAGCCGCGGUAAUACAGAGGUCUCAAGCGUUGUUCGGAAUCACUGGGCGUAAAGCGUGCGUAGGCUGUUUCGUAAGUCGUGUGUGAAAGGCGCGGGCUCAACCCGCGGACGGCACAUGAUACUGCGAGACUAGAGUAAUGGAGGGGGAACCGGAAUUCUCGGUGUAGCAGUGAAAUGCGUAGAUAUCGAGAGGAACACUCGUGGCGAAGGCGGGUUCCUGGACAUUAACUGACGCUGAGGCACGAAGGCCAGGGGAGCGAAAGGGAUUAGAUACCCGAGUAGUC